rnacentral:rRNA from 1 species
GGGUUGUGAGGUUAAGCGACUAAGCGUACACGGUGGAUGCCCUGGCAGUCAGAGGCGAUGAAGGACGUGCUAAUCUGCGAAAAGCGUCGGUAAGGUGAUAUGAACCGUUAUAACCGGCGAUGUCCGAAUGGGGAAACCCAGUGCAAUUCGUUGCACUAUCGUUAACUGAAUACAUAGGUUAACGAGGCGAACCGGGGGAACUGAAACAUCUAAGUACCCCGAGGAAAAGAAAUCAACCGAGAUUCCCCCAGUAGCGGCGAGCGAACGGGGAGCAGCCCAGAGUCUGAAUCAGCUUGUGUGUUAGUGGAACGGUCUGGAAAGUCCGACGGUACAGGGUGAUAGUCCCGUACACCAAAAUGCACAGGUUGUGAACUCGAAGAGUAGGGCGGGACACGUGGUAUCCUGUCUGAAUAUGGGGGGACCAUCCUCCAAGGCUAAAUACUCCUGACUGACCGAUAGUGAACCAGUACCGUGAGGGAAAGGCGAAAAGAACCCCGGCGAGGGGAGUGAAAAAGAACCUGAAACCGUGUACGUACAAGCAGUGGGAGCACCUUCGGGUGUGACUGCGUACCUUUUGUAUAAUGGGUCAGCGACUUAUAUUCUGUAGCAAGGUUAACCGUAUAGGGGAGCCGCAGGGAAACCGAGUCUUAACUGGGCGUUAAGUUGCAGGGUAUAGACCCGAAACCCGGUGAUCUAGCCAUGGGCAGGUUGAAGGUUGGGUAACACUAACUGGAGGACCGAACCGACUAAUGUUGAAAAAUUAGCGGAUGACUUGUGGCUGGGGGUGAAAGGCCAAUCAAACCGGGAGAUAGCUGGUUCUCCCCGAAAGCUAUUUAGGUAGCGCCUCGUGAAUUCAUCUUCGGGGGUAGAGCACUGUUUCGGCUAGGGGGUCAUCCCGACUUACCAACCCGAUGCAAACUACGAAUACCGAAGAAUGUUAUCACGGGAGACACACGGCGGGUGCUAACGUCCGUCGUGAAGAGGGAAACAACCCAGACCGCCAGCUAAGGUCCCAAAGUCAUGGUUAAGUGGGAAACGAUGUGGGAAGGCACAGACAGCCAGGAUGUUGGCUUAGAAGCAGCCAUCAUUUAAAGAAAGCGUAAUAGCUCACUGGUCGAGUCGGCCUGCGCGGAAGAUGUAACGGGGCUAAACCAUGCACCGAAGCUGCGGCAGCGACACUAUGUGUUGUUGGGUAGGGGAGCGUUCUGUAAGCCUGCGAAGGUGUGCUGUGAGGCAUGCUGGAGGUAUCAGAAGUGCGAAUGCUGACAUAAGUAACGAUAAAGCGGGUGAAAAGCCCGCUCGCCGGAAGACCAAGGGUUCCUGUCCAACGUUAAUCGGGGCAGGGUGAGUCGACCCCUAAGGCGAGGCCGAAAGGCGUAGUCGAUGGGAAACAGGUUAAUAUUCCUGUACUUGGUGUUACUGCGAAGGGGGGACGGAGAAGGCUAUGUUAGCCGGGCGACGGUUGUCCCGGUUUAAGCAUGUAGGCUGGUUGUCCAGGCAAAUCCGGAUAAUCAAGGCUGAGGUGUGAUGACGAGGCACUACGGUGCUGAAGUAACAAAUGCCCUGCUUCCAGGAAAAGCCUCUAAGCAUCAGGUAACAUUGAAUCGUACCCCAAACCGACACAGGUGGUCAGGUAGAGAAUACCAAGGCGCUUGAGAGAACUCGGGUGAAGGAACUAGGCAAAAUGGUGCCGUAACUUCGGGAGAAGGCACGCUGGUGUGUAGGUGAAGUCCCUGCGGAUGGAGCUGAGACCAGUCGAAGAUACCAGCUGGCUGCAACUGUUUAUUAAAAACACAGCACUGUGCAAACACGAAAGUGGACGUAUACGGUGUGACGCCUGCCCGGUGCCGGAAGGUUAAUUGAUGGGGUUAUCCGUAAGGAGAAGCUCUUGAUCGAAGCCCCGGUAAACGGCGGCCGUAACUAUAACGGUCCUAAGGUAGCGAAAUUCCUUGUCGGGUAAGUUCCGACCUGCACGAAUGGCGUAAUGAUGGCCAGGCUGUCUCCACCCGAGACUCAGUGAAAUUGAACUCGCUGUGAAGAUGCAGUGUACCCGCGGCAAGACGGAAAGACCCCGUGAACCUUUACUAUAGCUUGACACUGAACAUUGAGCCUUGAUGUGUAGGAUAGGUGGGAGGCUUUGAAGCGUGGACGCCAGUCUGCGUGGAGCCAACCUUGAAAUACCACCCUUUAAUGUUUGAUGUUCUAACGUUGGCCCCUUACCGGGGUUGCGGACAGUGUCUGGUGGGUAGUUUGACUGGGGCGGUCUCCUCCCAAAGCGUAACGGAGGAGCACGAAGGUUAGCUAAUCCUGGUCGGACAUCAGGAGGUUAGUGCAAUGGCAUAAGCUAGCUUGACUGCGAGCGUGACGGCGCGAGCAGGUGCGAAAGCAGGUCAUAGUGAUCCGGUGGUUCUGAAUGGAAGGGCCAUCGCUCAACGGAUAAAAGGUACUCCGGGGAUAACAGGCUGAUACCGCCCAAGAGUUCAUAUCGACGGCGGUGUUUGGCACCUCGAUGUCGGCUCAUCACAUCCUGGGGCUGAAGUAGGUCCCAAGGGUAUGGCUGUUCGCCAUUUAAAGUGGUACGCGAGCUGGGUUUAGAACGUCGUGAGACAGUUCGGUCCCUAUCUGCCGUGGGCGCUGGAGAAUUGAGGGGGGCUGCUCCUAGUACGAGAGGACCGGAGUGGACGCAUCACUGGUGUUCGGGUUGUCAUGCCAAUGGCACUGCCCGGUAGCUAAAUGCGGAAGAGAUAAGUGCUGAAAGCAUCUAAGCACGAAACUUGCCCCGAGAUGAGUUCUCCCUGAGACUUUAAGUCUCCUGAAGGAACGUUAAAGACGAUGACGUUGAUAGGCCGGGUGUGUAAGCGCAGCGAUGCGUUGAGCUAACCGGUACUAAUGAACCGUGAGGCUUAACCUUACAACGCCGAAG